rnacentral:rRNA from 1 species
AGCGGCGGACGGGUGAGUAACGCGUGGGUAACCUGCCUCAUACAGGGGAGUAACAGUUGGAAACGGCUGCUAAUACCGCAUAAGCGCACAGUACCGCAUGGUACGGUGUGAAAAACUCCGGUGGUAUGAGAUGGACCCGCGUCUGAUUAGGUAGUUGGUGGGGUAACGGCCUACCAAGCCGACGAUCAGUAGCCGACCUGAGAGGGUGACCGGCCACAUUGGGACUGAGACACGGCCCAA